rnacentral:pre_miRNA from 1 species
UGAUUGUCCAAACGCAAUUCUUGUUCACUUCGUUCUCCAAGAACUGUGUUCGGACAUCAAU